GUAAACAUAGUUUAUCUAAAACCCUAGACUGUGAAUCUAGAAAGAGAAGCUUAUACCUUCUUGUUUACC
rnacentral:tRNA from 1 species